ensembl:lncRNA
AUAGCUUUUACAGGAAAUCAGUUGUCAGUGCUUUCAUUGCCCAGUUCCAUGAUUUCAAUAAAAGGGAACUUGAAAUUAUUUCAAGUGUGAAGUGUUUAAGACAAACUACAUGACUUCCCUCACGACCCUGACUGACAACGUUGGAACCUUGCACGGUACGUUCACUCUUUUUAUUGACCUACACUUUGGCAGAAAACGGUUUCACUUGGUUUUUAGUGCAUAAGGGUUAUGAGUAUUGUAAUAUAAUAAUAAUAAUAAUAAUAAUGUAAAUGUUUAAUUAAAUUAAAUUAAAUUAUUAAAAAAAAUACUUUCUAUUUUUUAUGUUACAAUACUUAAUAACAAUAUCUGUUAUUAUGAAGCAAACUGUUAUAUUUGCAUUUAUUAUUGCAACUAAUAACUUUUAAAUUAAUAAUCAACUGGUUACACAUGAUUACUGUAGUUAUAAUAAGUUAUAAUUAUUAUAUAACAAUGCCAUGCUGUCACUCUCACUCAUUCUGUAACUUUCAAACUUGCAGAUCAUGAUUGUCAAUAAUACUUGUGUCCCUGAAAAUGACACGGCCACAUGUGCGGCCCCCAGCUCCCGUUCAGCUCUGGCUGUCGGGCUGAUAUUAUUCUUUCUGCUGCUUUUGAUUGCAGCUGGUGUAAUCUUGUUCAAAUGCCAAAGUAAAAUGAGAAAUAUGUUGCAAUUUGGACAAAGAAGAAGCCAGAAAAAGGAGGACAAUACGGAGACACCACAAGACGAUUCCCAUCAGUACAUCAGUAUCAAUCAGUCAACAGUAGAGACCCCUAUUUAUGAAAACCUGACAACUCGAACUACUAGAUACAACAGGCCUGCAGUAAACAAGAGCAAGUUUCCAGGUGAACCUGAAGAGGAUGUGUACUUGCAGUGUGAUUCACCAGAUGAUGCAAUAUACGGCAAUGAUCCUACAUGUAAUCUCUCCAUCCACCCAGACUCCCAAGAAGAAGAUGUGUAUAUUGUGCCAGAUUCAUAAUAGGACACGUCUCUAUUCAGUGCUCAAACUAUAAAUGUACAUUUAAAGCAAAUAUUUGCUGCUGCUUUUUAAUACAGCUGAGCAGUAAACAAGAAAAAAUACUGUAGUAAAUCCACAAUCAGAAUAGUUAAUACUUAUAUCUUAUUGUAUAGUCUGUAAAAUUAGGAAAGGAAUGAUAUGCAUAAUCUCUAUAUAUUCUGUUACCUGUGAACUUUCAUUGCUACUGCUUUUGAGUUCAUUUAAGAUCUGCAAAUAACCACAUUUUGACAACAAUCCAAGUUAACUAAAUUUUCUGAUAAGAUUUGAUAGUUUUAUGGCUUUCUUUUGAUACGCCUGGAAUUACAGAUUAAUCACCUUUCAUUUUGAGUUAACAAAUAAAUUCUACAAAUGACUUUUUUUAAUAGAUUAAAAAAGUAAAAAGAGGUAUUUGAAAUGUUCCACACUUAUGCACAUAAGUAGGUGGAUGUGUGUAAUUAUAUGAUAUAGUAUUCAUUGUGCUUUAUAUAAUAAUUAUUAUUAUAGAUGUUGAUGUGGAUGUGAAUUAUAGAUGUGGUCCAUAAACUUUUUCUAUUUGCACAUUUUAAAUAUUUAUAUCUCUCAAAGUGUUUCAAAGGUAGCCACCAUUUAAAACAGCUGCGUCCUUGUUCAAUGAUUUCAUUGAAUUAAUUAUGUUGCUUUGUAUGGUAACCAUAACAAAUGUUGUGAGAUGAUGAAGAUGAAACGCAUGUUAACAUAAUAUCAAGAACAAUUUGCAAUUGCAUUUUCAUUUGAACUAUGAUGUUCUCAUGUAAAAGUCUUUAGCUAACAGCCACCUGUAACGUGUCUUAUUAGGUUUAGAAAAAAAUGUGAGAAUACAAUUUACUGACUCACUUUCCAAUAAAUACUGUACAUUCAGAGACGUACUGUGAAAAAAUACUCAUUUUGAUAUAUAGUAUGCGCACCAUUGCAAAACAUUUAACAAGUACACCAUCAAGACUUUCAAAACAUGCAAAGGUCAGCAUUGUUUCUUUUGUGUUUGGUGAGACACAGGAUGUGAAAACCGUUUGCAUAUGAAAUCAAGAUUUGUUGUCUCAUUCCUCAAAAGAUCUUACAGGGAACAGACCGAAAGAUAUAAAACGUUGUCCAAAUGUUACAGAAUGAGAGGUGUGAUUUGUGCUUCUCUGGGCCGUAAUGACAAGAGAGUUGUUCUGGCUUUCAGCUAGCUGACAUCCUGGAAUUAAUUUCAGUAACUGUUUUCCGGUAAGGCUACGUGGGGAUUAAAACCAGGAGAAAGCCAAAUACCAGAGGCUAAUGAGUCCAUGCUGUCUACCUUAGAAUACACACAGAAGGCCCUUGAUAAAUACUGUCCCUAAUUAUUUUACACUUGUAUACUUUGGGUGGUACUGCAACUCAGGACCUUUCAGAAUCUAAGAUUGAAGACCUUUACAUCCACCCACAGUUGUGUAAUUACUGAGGAUGUCAUCCCUAAAACAAAGAGUACCAGGACAAAAACAAAAGAAGUGAGUGAGCUGUUUCUGGGCACAGGUCUCAAUUUACCGUAAGAAAAGUGUAAUUACAGUUAGCAUUUGUGUCUGCAGCUCUGAUUAAUCACCUAUGUAUCCGUCUGCCUAUUUAUUCAGUCGUCCAGGGUCACUCAAUACGCCCCACUCUUUAAUACAUCUACUUUAUUAAUUGUAAAACAACACAUGCUCAUAUUUAAGUGACCUUUACCCAUGCAAAGAUAAAAAACAUUUAUAACUCAUUAGGGGUGGUGGUGGGACUUCUUGGAGUAAUUAAUCUAUAAACAUUUCAGAGGAGCUUGCUACCGAUUCCAGUUCACGCG